rnacentral:misc_RNA from 1 species
AGUGUUGCUUGGCACCCUAAUAAUGUUAGUUUUUUUCUCUGAUUGUUUAAUUGUUGGAAAGCUGUAAUGAAGUUAGUGCACCCCUUAGAUCUUUAUUCAAACUUUAUAUGCAGCUGCGACUAAUUCUUCUUGAUUGCAAUAUCUGUUUGUCUGUGUUAUGCCUGGUUAAAGGUUAGAUUGUCCCUUAAAUUAAUGACCUCAACAUGGCACACUGUGUUCUCAAAGAAGAGAAUGAAUUUUCAAAAAACUGCUUUACAUUUUGCAAACUUCUGAACCCAUUUUCAAAGCAAUAGGAAUAGAGAAAAGAAUAGGGGAGCAAUAAACGGAUGUGAAGCAGUGCUGUAGAUGGGCUUUUUUUCUUUGGCUAUGGCACAACAAAUUGGAUUUCUUGAUCCCCAUGUGUACUGAAGUAAUAAUCCAAUUUCUUCCGGACUUUGUCAUCCUUAAAGUAAAAUGGUUGUAGGGGUAUCAAAUCUAAAGAAGAAAUAGGUGGUACAAAUACAUGAAGAGGUGUUUUUAUGAUGAAGCAAGAGAGCAACAUAAUGAAGGUGACUAUUAGUAGUGAUUAGUGGGAGCAUUGUUAAUGGAAUGGAAGUGAAAUUUAUCUUAGUAGAAAAACUUCAUGGAUGGUGUUCUUACUUGAGAGUGAGAGGAAGAGAGAUAAACCUAUAAACUUAGAAAUAAAGUGGAAGAAAGUAUGGUGAAAAUGGUUCCUUCAAUAAAUUAAUGGGUUGUGUAAUUUUGUAGGAAAGACUAAGGGGAAAAAAGAGAGAGAGAGUGAAUAUAUAUAUAUAUAUAUA